UGGCCCAUGGGGAUCGAACUCCACGACCUUCAAGGCUAUUAGAAGAAUGACGCUCCCAUCCAACUGAGCUAAUGGGCC